UGUUCUUCUUCCAUCUAAAAAAAAGCACUCUGCUUCUCGUGUCGCCUCUCUCGCGGGGACUUGCUUUGGCGAAACGGGACCGGAUAGGGCCAGAUGCGUUCGGGCGUAGGGGGGAACCCGCGGCGGGCGUCCGUUCUCCAGUCCGUCAGAUGGAGACGCCUCGUCGCGGCCGCGCUCAGCAUCAGGGCGACCCCGGCUCUGCGCGCGGUGAGCAACAAGAGCAGUCUACUCUCCCUCUCCAGUCGCACAGGAGAUGGUGUGCAGAGUUUGUUUGAGCCCUUGCUACCGCGAGAGCAGGGCAAGCGGGAUGAGCAUGUUUGUCUGGAAGGAGUUCAAAAACGCAGGGGUUGUGCCAUGCAACAAAAGAGUUCGUUUCAACGACCUGAGAGGGGAUACACUGAAGUUUAAGGCAAACAAAUGGACAUACACCGUGAAGUGUCACAAGGGGCCCAGAAAGAGCACAAUGUAUGGUAGUGGAUAGAGGAAAUUUGUUGCAGACAACAAGUUGGGGAAGGGCCAGCUGGUUCUCUUCUACUUGGACCAGCCUUCCCCAAGGGCAGUUAUCUGUGUGAUUCAAUUCGGGGAUGGUGCCGAAGGUGAAGGAUAUGAGGGUGAGAAUGACUACAUGGAAGUCUCAGAUGAAGAAGACGAGGAUAGGCAAGCUGACAACAGUGAUGACGGUGAUGAUAUUGUUCGCGCUAGGGGGGCUUGAGUUGACUCAGGAAGAGGAGUCAGAUCUAGAUGGGCCGCUUCCGCUCAACAACGGGUUCAUAGGGUUGGCAUUUGUGCACCGCCUCAUGAGGACUCAUGUUCUUUUGGGAAGCAUGAAUUACAAGGGCAUGAUAGUAGAGCGGCAGGUCAUUCAUGAAGCAGGGAACUUAAAGAGGGCACAAGAAAUAUUUUUUUUCAAGAAAAGCUCGUACAUGUGGUGCAAAUGCACUUGGAGAUGGUUGGAAUGCCAAAUUCAUCGCAGGCUGUUGUUGCUGCACAUACUGGACACCAAGGUACGGCUACCAUGGAAACACAAAAUCAUGCUUAUGUCAGUUUCUGGGAUGGUGACACAGCUCAAACAUAUGUAUUUACAAUCUAAGGGAAUUUUUGUUUUCGCAUAUUUUAUCUUACUUGGACUGGGGUCACCAAAUUAUGUGGAGAUGGAGCAUGACUGCUUGGAAAUCUCUAUGCCAAAGUAUUCACCGGCUGCUACACGAAAUGCAGAAGACAGGUAAAGCUGGUGUUCAGAGCAGAAGGUCUUGCCAUUGCGAAUGUCUGGCUCUGAUAAAGACUUUUACAAGCAGAGGACAAUGUUUGAUACUCCUCUGUAAAGAAAUAUAUUAUUUCUUUACAAAGGGAGUACAUUAAGCAUAGAGAGAGUCAUAAUCAUUCGCUUUCACUGAAUUUGGCGAGAUAAUCCACAGUUAGAGAAGCAGGAGAGAGUUUGAGGCAAGUAACCCGUGGUAGUAAUCAUACUAGUGGAGGUGCUGAUGCUGGCUCUGGGAGGGGUACGAGGGGGCAGAAAAAGAGUUGUUGUGUCAACAAUGCAGUGACAGGGGAUGGGACACCUUGCGAUGUGCCUGAAGCCUUGAUGCAAUAUGACCGCAAUGAUGUUGCUAGACAAUCAGGUUAUCAUCUGUCAUUUCGCUUUGUUCUAAAAAUUGAGUUAUCUUUGCAUUCAGUUAACAUAGUUCUUUGCCGACAUCCAUGAGCAUGAGGAUGAAGUGGGUAGGGGAUUGUGCGUGGUGUCAGGCUGGAUGAGGAGUAACCUAAGGUUGCAGAUAGGCAUGGUCAGGACAUCGUGAAGGGUGAGAUGGGUGAUAAGUUCUGAGGAAAAGCUGGUUUGAAGGAUGAAGAGCCAAACACAAGAGACAUGCUACUUUCUAUGACAGGAUGUUGUCAUACACUUCCAGAGAACUUAGCAAGAGAAGACUUCGUGAGGGAGUUCGGACCAAACGGGCUGUUGACAGUGGAUUCGUGUGUCGCGGCUGAUCAUUACAAGGAAGGUCGGAUGUUUGAUAGUUGACAGAUCAGGUGGCACCACGUCUUUGACUUGCGGUUUGUGAUGAUGCUGCCGGUGCCAAUGUACGAGGUCCAUAGUGUAUGAGGUGAUUUUGAUGAGGGGGACAGGGUUGAGCUGCCAGAUUUCAUGCUUGAAGUGCUCUUUCUGAGGUAUGAGUUAUACGGAUGUAGUAUUUUAGAUCCGGUGUCUGCGAGAUUGAUUAUGAAACACGUUGUGUACAUUAGACAUUGGAGGGGAAUGUUAGCUACCAUCUCAUUUUGUGGUGUGGUAGUGAUUCUAAGCCCAGUGUUUGCCACAUUGAGCUUAACCUGUAUUUUGAGCAAGACAUGGCAAGCUAGAUUACAUCCUAGUCAGCUGGCGUGGAAGUGCUUGUGAUCACUCUGUGCUUAGCUAUACUAUAUUUGCAUGUAAGGAUUGAUAUGCCACAUGUUGAAGGUGGUAACUGAACCAGCAGAUGAUGAAUCGUUGGUUUUUAAGAUUUGCGAGUGCUCUGUUAAGAUUGUAGUGCAGAACUCUUUAAGGUGUUCAUUUUGCAAUUAAUGUUGUUCAGAACCAUUUGGAGUUACUCUCCAGCUAAGGAUGGCUGUGGUUUUCAAUUAGGAGACCUGGACGGUGACUUGGUAUUUUGCCAGAAUGGCUUCUGAUGAGUUCAUGUCGUGUUUUGCAAAAAGGGAAACUGGAAACUUUCAAUACGUGGUGCGUUUUAAGUACUUAUAAGGUUAUGCUGAUGAUGCGCUCUGGGGUGUGUGGUUUUGCUGUGCAUCAUGAGAUUUUUGAGUUUCGAACGAUGUUCGGCCAAAAUUAGCAUGGUUGUGAUUUUCAGUUGUGACUAGAUGCUUGUGAAAUUGCUACAGAUGCUAUUUGGAACAAUUGGUAUUUUGAUGGAAUAGCGACGGGAAAACUAAGGGCAUGUUUUGCAAACACAUGACACAUCUAGACAUUUGGAAAGGCAUAGACAAACGAAAAUUCAUGGUCUUUUUUUUUACGGUACAGUGCUGACUAGUACUUAAUUUUCAAGGCUGUGAUUUAGCCCAUGUAAAAGAAAAGUUUGUGAUUUAGCAGGUGAUGAAAGAGAAGAAUCGUGUAGGGUAAGGCUGCUAGCUACCUGCAGCUAUGGGCCGCAAUAAAUGGGAUAUAAUUAAGGCCGUUAGUCCAGAAUCUUGUGAUGUCACGGCACAGAUCGAGGAAGGACAUCUGAGAGCAAA